UUCCCAGUCGCUCGAUAUGUUUUUAUCUGAUAGUGUAGACUUCUCUUGUUUGAUUGCGAAGAGUGUUGGCCAGUAUAACGCUCAAAACGAAAUAUUUUUAGCUAACAUAACACGCACGCAAUAUAAUUCUCUCUUGUAGUUUUGGUGCUACCCAGCCAAUGACGUCACAAAGUUCAUUGACCUUCGAGAUAAUUUUUCAAAAAUAUUUUCCAAGAUGGCGGCG